AUCACACAAUGGGUAAGUGUGUCUGGCUGUUAACCAGAAGGCUGGUGGUUUGAAUCCAUCCAGGGAUG
rnacentral:tRNA from 1 species